rnacentral:rRNA from 1 species
UACGUAGGGAGCGAGCGUUGUCCGGAUUUAUUGGGCGUAAAGAGCUCGUAGGCGGCUUGGCAAGUCGGAUGUGAAAACUCCAGGCUCAACCUGGAGACGCCAUCCGAUACUGCUAUGGCUAGAGUCCGGUAGGGGACCACGGAAUACCUGGUGUAGCGGUGAAAUGCGCAGAUAUCAGGAAGAACACCCGUGGCGAAGGCGGCUCUCUGGGACGGUACUGACGCUGAGACGCGAAAGCGUGGGGAGCGAACAGG